rnacentral:rRNA from 1 species
GACGAACGCUGGCGGCGUGCUUAACACAUGCAAGUCGAACGGAAAGGCCUGCUUUCCCUUGUGGAUUGCGGGUACUCGAGUGGCGAACGGGUGGGUAACACGUGAGUGAUCUGCCCCCAACUUGGGUAUAAGCCUGGGAAACUGGGUCUAAUUCCCGAUAGGACUGCAGGGUGGUGCCUGUGGUGGAAAACGAUUUUCUAGUGGUUGGGGAUGAGCUCGCGGCCUAUCAGCUUGUUGGUGGGGUAAUGGCCUACCAAGGCGGCGACGGGUAGCCGGCCUGAGAGGGUGGACGGGCACAUUGGGACUGAGAUACGGCCCAGACUCCUACGGGAGGCAGCAGUGGGGAAUAUUGCACAAUGGGCGGAAGCCUGAUGCAGCGACGCCGCGUGGGGGAUGACGGCCUUCGGGUGGUAAACUCCUUUCGACCGCGAGGAAGCCACCUGGUUGGAAGGGUGGUGACGGUAGUGGUAGAAGAAGCACCGGCUAACUACGUG